rnacentral:tRNA from 1 species
GACCGCAUAGCUCAGUUGGCAGAGCAUUGGGCUAGUAUUCCAAAGGUUGUAGGUUCGAUUCCCACCGUGGCCG